rnacentral:rRNA from 1 species
UACGGGGGGGGCUAGCGUUGUCCGGAAUUAUUGGGCGUAAAGAGCUCGUAGGCGGUUUGUCGCGUCUGCUGUGAAAACUCGGGGCUUAGCUCCGGGCCUGCAGUGGGUACGGGCAGAAUAGAGUGCGGUAGGGGAGACUGGAAUUCCUGGUGUAGCGGUGAAAUGCGCAGAUAUCAGGAGGAACACCGGUGGCGAAGGCGGGUCUCUGGGCCGUAACUGACGCUGAGGAGCGAAAGCGUGGGGAGCGAACAGG